rnacentral:rRNA from 1 species
UACGAGGGGGGCAAGCGUUGUUCGGAUUUAUUGGGCGUAAAGGGUGCGUAGGCGGUCUGGCAAGUCUUGUGUGAAAUCUUCGGGCUCAACCCGAAGUCUGCACAAGAAACUGCCGGGCUUGAGUAUGGGAGAGGUGAGUGGAAUUUCCGGUGUAGCGGUGAAAUGCGUAGAUAUCGGAAGGAACACCUGUGGCGAAAGCGGCUCACUGGACCAUUACUGACGCUGAGGCACGAAAGCUAGGGGAGCAAACAGG